AAUGAACGCUGGCGGCGCGCCUAAUACAUGCAAGUCGAGCGAGAAGACGUAGCAAUACGUUUGUAAAGCGGCGAACGGGUGAGGAAUACAUGGGUAACCUACCCUCGAGUGGGGAAUAACUAGCCGAAAGGUUAGCUAAUACCGCGUACGCUUCUUGGACUUCGGUUCAGGGAGGAAAGCGAUGCCGAGGGUAUCGCGCUCUUGGAUGGGCUCAUGUCCUAUCAGCUUGUUGGGAGGUAACGGCUCACCAAGGCUUCGACGGGUAGCUGGUCUGAGAGGACGAUCAGCCACACUGGCACUGCGACACGGGCCAGACUCCUACGGGAGGCAGCAGUAAGGAAUAUUGCGCAAUGGGCGAAAGCCUGACGCAGCGACGCCGCGUGGGGGAU
rnacentral:rRNA from 1 species